rnacentral:lncRNA from 1 species
GACAGAAGAAGGCAUUGGAACCCCCUAGACUGGAGUUGCAGAUGGUUGUGAACCACCACGUGGGUGCUCGGAGNUGAGCCCAGGUCAUCUUGAAGAGCAGCCAUUGCACUUAACUGCUGAGUCAUCUUUUGGGUCCUGGGUGUUUAGGGACAGGAGAGAGCACAGAUGAAGACAAUUAAUUCCUAAAGGCUGUGAUGUCAUAGACCUUCUGAGUUUCCUGGAUUGUGACAUGUUCCUUUGUAUUAGUAUGUGCCUCACGACUUUCAUCGACGAUGGGAACCGGGGACAGAAAAUGGCGAGGCGGGACUGGACUUAGAUUGGGAAUGACGGAGGCCAUGUGGUGUCUCCAGAAGCAGAAUUCUUCCUUUAAUCAGGACAACUGAAGGGCUGCAGUCUGCACAGGGGUGGAGACUGUGCACUCGGGGUACAGGAGGCUUGCAGAGAUUUACAGGACUUUAAAGGAGACUUUGCUAACGGAAGAUACCAUCUACCCGUCAGUUCCUGAUGGUCUCAAAGCGGAAGGUCUCACUCAAAGACACACGUUGAUCCUUUUAUUGGAAGCAUUCCAGAUCGGAACAGUCCACAGGUGUUACCAUCGGUUUUCCUGUCCUGAGUUUCUCAGUCUACCUGAGGCUUUUAGGUUAUUAACCCUUCGGUGGGGACUGCAAAGCCACAGUUCUGAGAAUGGCCUUGCUGGCAGACAGCAACGCCAGAAUAGAGUCCUGGCUCCUGGCUUUCCUGCUAUCACCAAGCCUUGCCUGGAAGGUGCACACGAGGAUGCGACAGAUAGGCACCUGGGUACCCCCACACCCCACCACAGUUUCUUUCCAAGUCCUUCCAAAAGCUCCCAGAUUAGCAAUGCAAUGGUAUUCUACUUCCUGCCCUAUACAAGCUCAGCCCUUUCUCUCUUGCAAGCUUCCAUCUACCUAUACUAUAGUUCUGUCUAAAAC